rnacentral:rRNA from 1 species
GCGGCNNGCUUACCAUGCAGUCGAACGAGAACGGGUUAUAGCUUGCUAUAAUUGUCAGCUAAGUGGCGCACGGGUGAGUAAUGUAUAGGUAAUAUGCCUCUUACUAAGGGAUAACAAAUGGAAACGUUUGCUAAUACCUUAUACUCCUUAUUAACUAAAGUUGGUAAGGGAAAGAUUUAUUGGUAAGAGAUUGGCCUGUAUUGUAUCAGUUAGUUGGUGGGGUAAUGGCCUACCAAGACUAUGACGCAUAACUGGUUUGAGAGGAUGAUCAGUCACACUGGAACUGAGACACGGUCCAGACUCCUACGGGAGGCAGCAGUGGGGAAUAUUGCACAAUGGACGAAAGUCUGAUGCAGCAACGCCGCGUGGAGGAUGACACAUUUCGGUGCGUAAACUCCUUUUAUAUAAGAAGAUAAUGACGGUAUUAUAUGAAUAAGCACCGGCUAACUCCGUGCCAGCAGCCGCGGUAAUACGGGGGGUGCAAGCGUUACUCGGAAUCACUGGGCGUAAAGAGCAUGUAGGCGGAUUGAUAAGUUUGAAGUGAAAUCCUAUAGCUUAACUAUAGAACUGCUUUGAAAACUGUUAAUCUAGAAUGUGGGAGAGGUAGAUGGAAUUUCUGGUGUAGGGGUAAAAUCCGUAGAGAUCAGAAGGAAUACCGAUUGCGAAGGCGAUCUACUGGAACAUUAUUGACGCUGAGAUGCGAAAGCGUGGGGAGCAAACAGGAUUAGAUACCCUGGUAGUCCACGCCCUAAACGAUGUACACUAGUUGUUGUGAGGCUAGACCUUGCAGUAAUGCAGUUAACACAUUAAGUGUACCGCCUGGGGAGUACGGUCGCAAGAUUAAAACUCAAAGGAAUAGACGGGGACCCGCACAAGCGGUGGAGCAUGUGGUUUAAUUCGACGAUACACGAAGAACCUUACCUGGACUUGACAUAGUAAGACUUU